CCUACGGGAGGCAGCAGUAAGGAAUUUUCCACAAUGGGCGCAAGCCUGAUGGAGCAACACCGCGUGAGUGAAGAAGGGUUUCGGCUCGUAAAGCUCUGUUGUUGGAGAAGAACAUGCGUGAGAGUAACUGUUUACGCAGUUACGGUAUCCAACCAGAAAGUCACGGCUAACUACGUGCCAGCAGCCGCGGUAAUACGUAGGUGGCAAGCGUUAUCCGGAUUGAUUGGGCGGAAAGCGAGCGGAGGCGGGUGGUUAUGUCUGAUGUGAAAGCCUUCGGCUUAACCGAAGAAUUGCAUCGGAAACCGGGCGACUUGAGUGCAGAAGAGGACAGUGGAACUCGAGGUGUAGCGGUGGAAUGCGUAGAUAUAUGGAAGAACACCGGUGGCGAAGGCGGCUGUCUGGUCUGCAACUGACGCUGAGGCUCGAAAGUAUGGGUAGCGAACAGGAUUAGAUACCCCUGUAGUC
rnacentral:rRNA from 1 species